UACGGGGGGAGCAAGCGUUGUUCGGAAUCACUGGGCGUAAAGCGCGUGUAGGCGGCCAAGUAAGUGGGAUGUGAAAUCCCCCGGCUUACCCGGGGACCUGCAUCUCAUACUGCUUGGCUUGAGUAUGGGAGAGGAUGAGGGAAUUCCUGGUGUAGCGGUGAAAUGCGUAGAUAUCGGGAGGAACACCGGUGGCGAAGGCGGCCUUCUGGACGGAUACUGACGCUGAGACGCGAAAGCGUGGGGAGCAAACAGG
rnacentral:rRNA from 1 species